GACCGCUACGGUGGCUUAAUGGUUAGAACGUCCGCUUCAUCUGCGGAAGGUCGCGAGUUCGAACCCCGGCCAAGUCA